GGGUCCGGACACACUGAGGAUUGACAGGCAAUAUUAAUACGUGUUUCGGCGCGUAUUAUGUUAAAUAUGCUAGUCCUUUCAUGAUUAUGUGAUAGGUGGUGCAUGGCCGUUCUUAGUUCGUGGAGUGAUCUGUCUGCUUAAUUGCGUUUCACUAAGAAUCUAUCAAUACGUGCGUUGCGGCACUUUGACCCCUCUCUGAGCGCGCGUCUUAGUUGCUUAGCUCGCACAAUUAGGUUCUGAAAGCAACGAACGUGACCGCAACCUCUUGUUGCCUUUAUACCAAACAUUUUUGCUGUUCUCAGCAUUAAUGCAAAAAGGCUUUUUAAACUAGAGGGACCGCUGUUACUUUCUUAAACCAGAGGAAGGUUGCGGCAAUAACAGGUCUGUGAUGCCCUUAGAUGUUCCGGGCUGCACACGUGCUACAAUGAUUGUUGCAGUGAGCAUCUCAUUUUUACACACCGCAUGCGCGAGUCCGUUUAUUCACUUCGGUGUUUUAAACGUGUAUUUCUGCGCGCGGUAAAGCCUGCUUCGAGAGUAAGUGGGU
rnacentral:rRNA from 1 species